GCCACCUCCACCCUUUGUCUACAUGACCACUGUUGCUUUGGCGAGCCUGCCUGUUGUACAGGCUGCCGGAGGUUUUACACCCUCUGGACCGUGCACGCCAACAGCCAUUUAUUUAAACUCUUGAUUAAUAUGGAGCCUAAAUAUUAUUUAUAAACAGCAAAACUUUCAACAACGGAUCUCUUGGUUCUGGCAUCGAUGAAGAACGCAGCGAAAUGCGAUAAGUAAUGCGAAUUGCAGAAUCCGUGAGUCAUCGAAUCUUUGAACGCAUAUUGCGCCCUUUGGCAUUCCGAAGGGCAUGCCUGUUCGAGCGUCAUUAUCACCCCCUCAAGCCUGGCUUGCAGUUGGAUUCCUCAGGUAAGGCAUCGCGCCAAGCCAAUCCAAAAGAUAACGACGGCGUCUGUGAAUGACCCCAGUACACUGGCUCUUGUAGCACGUGCUUGGCGGGAGUCACAACCCGGUCUAGCCUCUAGUCUAUCUAAUUGACCUCGGAUCAGGUAGGAAUACCCGCUGAACUUAAGCAUAUCAAUAAG
rnacentral:rRNA from 1 species